ACUGGCGCACUGUUAACUCGGCUAUAAUCGCGUAAGUGGUGUCUACGCCAAUUAAGAAGAAGAAGAAGAAGUCGCAGUCGAAGCAUUGGCCAAAAUCAUGAAAGCAACGAAAAGCAAAAAUCAUCAGCAGGCCCCGCUUCUCGUUUUCUUGCUUCUGAUUUGCUGUUGCUUUCAAUCGUAGACGAAAGUCGAUGCUGUGGCAGGUGUCGGCUUUCGGAAGUCGUCAGCAGUCGAAACCUUAAAAAAGAGGCAUUCGAUAAGACGAUAUUGCGCGGUGUUGUACAGUAUGAAGGCUAGGCCUUACUCAAGAUCUUUACGUAAAACGUUGAAGCCUGCACAACUCAGAAGAUCCUUGCUGCAAGGCGUUGCUCCAGUGACGACAAGCUUACGCUAAGACUUACCAAUCUAAACGGGGUUAGAUCUCCGCAAUAACAAUAUGGAUGGCCGGAUAAAACUCGUGUCAAUUCCGGUGCGUUGAACCGACUGUUGUGGGAAUUGCUGGAAAUUUUGAUUUUGAAUUAUGUUGAAAUCACUGAAACCGUAUCGAAUGCCCCUAUUGCGGUUUUCAACCCGACUUGGUCGAAUUGAAGUUAAGGCAAUUCAACUUCAGAUCAACCAAACUCUUUUUCGGUAUUUGCAAACUUCAACUAAGUUCAGUCGAAGUAUGAUUGGCGUUGCCAACCUAAGAAAGGGAAUUUUGACAGAUAGUGAAAGAGCUAAAAUUUUGUAAACGACAUAUUUAAACAAUUGAAUUCAGUUGUCGCUCGCGAAAAAGUGAACAAACACUAAAAUAAAAAAAAAAUGGAUAUAAAUUUUGAUUUAUAUUACAAUGACGAAAAUAUUGGGGGCAAAAUUGAUGUGCUACGUAUACGAAAAAGCCUUCGUGAUCACUCAAAUCCGUUGGAGCUUCCAAAUGCAAAGUAAGCCAUAGUUUUUUCACAAUUGAGUGGCUUUUUAAUAAUAUUUGUUGCAGAUUCAUAAGUUAUUUUCGAUUAAAUAAAGAAGCAUUUUUUUUUUUCUGAAUGAGAUGAAGGAACAUUUCCACAGACGUGUGCGAGGAACGGCCAUACCUCCUAUAUUAAAAUUAUGCGCAACUCUGCGUUUCCUUGCUGACGGUGGUUAUCAAAAAUGCAGUGGAAAUGAUUUUAACAUUGGUUUGGCGCAACCUACGAUAUCUUUAGUAAUUAAAGAGGUUCUAAAUAUAAUUGAACAACGUAUUUGUGCCCAAUGGAUUAAAAUUCAAAUGACUGAGGAGGAGCAAAACGCUUCAAAAGUUGCAUUUUUAUUCAAAAAGUGCUUUCCCGGGAGUAGUUGCUUGCAUCGACGGGACUCAUGUUCCCAUAAUUUCACCAAGAAAAGAAGUGCAACAUCUUUAUCUUAACAGAAAGGGCUACUACAGCUUAAACGUGAUGAUUCUUUGUGAUUAUAAAAUGUAUUCGGUAUGUGGAUGCUAGGCAUACAGGCGCAAAUCAUGACUCUUUUGUUUUCAAUGUUAGCGAUUUGAAAGUGCAUUUACAGAACAACAUAUAGAAUAACACUUGGAUCUUGGGCGACGCUGGCUAUCCUCUGCACAAAUUUUUAAUGACGCCUUUUCGCUUGGCGGAAGCUUCUUCACCCCAAGCACGCUACAAUACAGUACACUCAAAGGCCCGUAAUAUUGUAGAGCGGACAAUUGGUGUACUCAAGAGUAGAUUUCGAUGUCUUUUAUCUGUACGAGGUUUACAUUACACUCCUGAAAAGGCUACGCAAAUUGUAAAUGCUUGUUGCGCAUUGCACAAUAUUUGCCAACACUUUCAAGUGGGAGCUCCGGAAGAAAUACCAUCUACUUCAAAUACUACAAUGACCAAUGAUGUUUUGUACAUAGAAAGAGUAGAAGAGGAUACGGCUCGAAUAAUUCGCAAUUAUAUUAUGACUUCCCUCUAAAUAAUUAAAAUAUUAAAUUUCAUUUAUUCUUUCUAAUGUGCUAUUUAUUCAUUCAUGUA
rnacentral:lncRNA from 1 species